rnacentral:rRNA from 1 species
GUGGGGAAUAUUGGACAAUGGGCGAAAGCCUGAUCCAGCCAUGCCGCGUGUGUGAAGAAGGUCUUCGGAUUGUAAAGCACUUUAAGUUGGGAGGAAGGGCAGUAAGUUAAUACCUUGCUGUUUUGACGUUACCGACAGAAUAAGCACCGGCUAACUUCGUGCCAGCAGCCGCGGUAAUACGAAGGGUACAAGCGUUAAUCGGAAUUACUGGGCGUAAAGCGCGCGUAGGUGGUUUUGUAAGUUGGAGGUGAAAUCUCCGGGCUCAACAUGGGAACUGCCUCCAAAAAUGCAUGACUAGAGUACGGUAGAGGGUAGUGGAAUUUCCUGUGUAGCGGUGAAAUGCGUAGAUAUAGGAAGGAACACCAGUGGCGAAGGCGACUACCUGGACUGAUACUGACACUGAGGUGCGAAAGCGUGGGGAGCAAACAGGAUUAGAUACCCCUGUAGUCC